rnacentral:rRNA from 1 species
CUUCCAUUGUGGGGGCGAGACUGCGGACGGCUCAUUAAAUCAGUUAUGAUUCCCAGGAGCCAGCGAAAUCUACUUGGAUAACUGUGGCAAUUCUAGAGCUAAUACAUGCUACUGAAGCUUCGUCGCCGCCUUCCUCGCGGAGGUGGCAGGAGCGCACUUGUUAGCCUCAAACCAAUCGGGUGUCCGCCGUCCGCGACGGGCGUGGUUCGCUGCGUCCGCAGGGCGGUGGCGCGCCGGUACCUCUGGUGAAUUCUGGACAACUUUGCCGAUCGCAUGGCCUUUGCGCCGGCGACAUAUCUUUCAAGUGUCUGACCUAUCACACUAGAUGGUUUGCGCUCUGCGCACCAUGGUGACAACGGGUGACGGGGAAUCAGGGUUCGAUUCCGGAGAGGGAGCAUGAGAAACGGCUGCCACAUCCAAGGAAGGCAGCAGGCACGCAACUUACCCAAUGCCGAAACGGCGAGGUAGUGACGAAAAAUAACAAUACGGGACCCUCUUUACGAGUUCCCGCAAUUGAAAUGAGUACAUUCUAAACCCUUUAACGAGGAUCAAUU